UGUGCAGGCAGAAGUGUCGCAAAGAUUGAGUUAUGCCAAGGAAUCUGCUAGCAGAAACGUGAGUGUGCAGAGCCAUGGAGACCUCGCUAGAAAGUUACAGGAGGAAAUGGAGAAGAACCGCAGGUCUUCAUCUGGUUCGAGAGAAGGAUCUGGGAGGCGGAUGAAGGAGGUAGCUUGUCCAACAUGUACAGUGCUAU